rfam:Triticum aestivum genome assembly, contig: Triticum_aestivum_CS42_TGACv1_scaffold_321376_4BL
CUACUACUCCCUCCGUUCGGAAUUACUCUUUGCAAAAAUGGGUGUAUCCAGACAUAUUUUAGUUCUAGAUACAUCCAUUUUUGAGACAAGUAAUUCCGAACGGAGGGAGUAGUAU